AGAGAAACUGAGAUGGAGAGGUCAUCAGCCCAAAGUCAUAGUGUGAAUGGUGGAGCCAGGAUUUAUGCUCAGGCAGUGUAACUUCAUAGCCUUUGGUCUUAGCCACAAUGCUACUCUGCUUCCCAAUAAAUAUUUAGUCAAAGUUUAUUCAUCAGUAUAGAAUGAUGACAUUAUUUAUUAUUUAUUGACUGCAUAAACCCAAAUUAUCAAACACUUUUUCAACAUUCUCUCAAAGAAGUAAAUUCAAUAUAUCUAACUUGAAAUUUAGGAGCAUUAAAAAAUUAGGAAAACUAUUUUAUAGAACCAGAGUUUUUCAUGGGGACAGGUGCUAGGGUUCUCUGCUCCAGAAUUCUGAUGCUUAAAAUGUUGCAUAUUUGUUUUAGAUGGAAAAAGAGGGUGCUGGCAGAAGGAUCCCUGGUUGGGCAGCGACAUGCCAGUGUGUCCAGAGGAGUUCCCUGCCUGCCAGGAAUCUCAGCAGACACAGUGAUGUGAAGGAGCAAGACAAAAUGCCAGGUGGAGUCUCGCUCUGUCGCCCAAGCUGGAGUGCAGUGGCGCGAUCUCGGCUCACUGCAAGCUCCGCCUCCCAGGUUCAGGCCAUUCUCCUGCCUCAGCCUCCCGAGCAGCUGGG
rnacentral:lncRNA from 1 species